UACAGAGUAAACUAAUAAAGUUUUUGGGUUCAUACCCCAACCAUGGAUAAUACCCUCUGGAA
rnacentral:tRNA from 1 species